GAUGAGUUUGGUAGAGACAAACGAGGUUGAAGGUGGCGCUAAUGCAUGGAAAGUAAAUAAUCUGUAAGGCUGUUUGCAAAGGACUGAGUUGAGUUCUGCAAAGGUAGCAGAUGCAUGGAGACCCACAUGAAAUAAAAUCAGGGCUGUCCGGCAGAGGAGGAAGUGUAUAGCUUUACAUUUCUCGCACAGAGUUGGAGGGAAAUGGGAAGUCCAAGGAGUGAAAGCCUCACUGCAGCAAGAGAGGAAAGAUUGCUUGAUUGUCUCUUUCCUUAAACAGACAAGCAGGUAGCAUAUGCUGGAGGAGCCUAGUCCAUCUUCAAGGACGAACAGCGACUGGAGACGAAGGGAUAACCUGUGGCCCCAUUUUGCUAUUCCAUAAAUGCAGUGACAAAUAAAGCGAAGGAAAGAGAUCCAGUGCUGGAAAGGCAAGAAAUAAAUUCCAGUGGAGGGAGGUAAGUAGAAAGUAUGAAGCUUAAAAAUGUUUAUAUGAAAUACUAUGAAAGUGAAACUUUGGCGAUUAUAGAAUGAAUGAUGUGAAAUGAAAAAACGUAUAGGUUAUACUUUCUUCCUGGAUUCAAGUAAUAAAAGUGAGAAAUCUGAUUUUCAGAUUAUUAUUGGUAUUGUUCUCUUGACUUCCAAUAGCUCAAAUGUUUUUCUGAUUGAGAGAAGGUGAUUAGUAAAAUGGAUAAAGCAAUGGAAUGUUUAAUCAAUAUUUAUUAUUUCAGAACAAUAUUGUGGCUUUACAUGGGAAAGUGUAAUGAUUUCCUUUUUGUAUGAAUUUUGUUCUCUGAACAGUUGAUUAAUUAGCAGACAGAUUAAAAUUAAUUAUUGAUAUGAUUGACUUUGCAGUGUUUUUUUUUUUUCUAAAGUGAGGG